rnacentral:rRNA from 1 species
UACGAAGGGUGCAAACGUUGCUCGGAAUCAUUGGGCGUAAAGCGCACGUAGGCGGCUUUGUAAGUUAGAGGUGAAAGCCCGGGGCUCAACCCCGGAAUUGCCUUUAAGACUGCAUCGCUAGAAUUGUGGAGAGGUGAGUGGAAUUCCGAGUGUAGAGGUGAAAUUCGUAGAUAUUCGGAAGAACACCAGUGGCGAAGGCGACUCACUGGACACAUAUUGACGCUGAGGUGCGAAAGCGUGGGGAGCAAACAGG